GGUUAUCUCCUAACCUCAGAUGUUGGAUAAGUCCACGGAAACAGCAGCGCUUCAGGAUGGCUUCAGAAAGGCUGGAGUGAUUGUUUGGAAGAGAAAAACCUGCCUAUUCAUUCAAAGGUACAUGAAUGUUGUCGAGACUGUCCCAUCUAAAGAAUCCUGCCUUAGACAAAGGAUGCGCUUGGAGCCUCACCACACCUAAAACCACGCUUUGAAGGGUCUGCCAAGCUCACUUUUAAUCAUGAGAAAGAAAUUACCCACAUGGAGACAGCAGAAAAUGAGAAAGUAGAGAUCGUGCUGCGAAUAAUUCCAGCGAGUGCCAAGGGGCUAGUUGAGGAAUGGCUUCAUGAGGUGAAUAUCUUUAGCUUGUACUUAGGGUUUGGUUAGCGUAUAAUCAU
rnacentral:lncRNA from 1 species